UAAUGCCUACGGGAGGCAGCAGUGGGGAAUAUUGCACAAUGGGGGGAACCCUGAUGCAGCGACGCCGCGUGAGUGAAGAAGUAUUUCGGUAUGUAAAGCUCUAUCAGCAGGGAAGAAAAUGACGGUACCUGACUAAGAAGCCCCGGCUAACUACGUGCCAGCAGCCGCGGUAAUACGCAGGGGGCAAGCGUUAUCCGGAUUUACUGGGUGUAAAGGGAGUGUAGGCGGGAAGGCAAGUCAGAAGUGAAAAUUAUGGGCUCAACCCAUCACAUGCUUUUGAAACUGUUUUUAUUGUGUGAAGCAGA
rnacentral:rRNA from 1 species